rnacentral:rRNA from 1 species
AGAACGAACGCUGGCGGCAUGCCUAAUACAUGCAAGUCGAACGAACUCUUCGGAGUUAGUGGCGCACGGGUGCGUAACGCGUGGGAAUCUGCCCCUUGGUUCGGAAUAACAGUUGGAAACGACUGCUAAUACCGGAUGAUGACGAAAGUCCAAAGAUUUAUCGCCAAGGGAUGAGCCCGCGUAGGAUUAGCUAGUUGGCGAGGUAAAGGCUCACCAAGGCAACGAUCCUUAGCUGGUCUGAGAGGAUGAUCAGCCACACUGGGACUGAGACACGGCCCAGACUCCUACGGGAGGCAGCAGUAGGGAAUAGUUGGACAAGUGGGACGAAAGCCUGAUCCAGCCAUCGCCGCGUGUGUGAAGGAAGGUC